rnacentral:rRNA from 1 species
AACGAACGCUGGCGGCAGGCUUAACACAUGCAAGUCGAACGCUCGUAGCAAUACGGGAGUGGCGGACGGGUGAGUAACGCGUGGGAACGUGCCCUGAGGUACGGAAUAACUGCGGGAAACUGCAGCUAAUACCGUAUGAGCCCCGCAAGGGGGAAAGAUUUAUCGCCUUAGGAGCGGCCCGCGUCGGAUUAGCUAGUUGGUGGGGUAACGGCUUACCAAGGCUUCGAUCCGUAGCUGGUCUGAGAGGACGAUCAGCCACACUGGGACUGAGACACGGCCCAGUCUCCUACGGGAGGCAGCAGUGGGGAAUCUUGCGCAAUGGGGGCAACCCUGACGCAGCCAUGCCGCGUGAAUGAUGAAGGCCUUAGGGUUGUGAAGUUCUUUUGCCCGUGACGAUGAUGACGGUAACGGGAGAAUAAGCUCCGGCUAACUUCGUGCCAGCCGCCGCAGUAACAC